rnacentral:lncRNA from 1 species
CUUGUUGCCCACAAUGACCAUGGAGUGCCCCCACCUGUGCAGUGCCCCAGAGGGAACGCCCUGUGCAGCAGACAAGGACAGGGCACGACUCAAUCUCCUUGUUAUCAUGGCAGUUUCCUCCAUAUUACGAGUGCCUGUCAGGCAUCUCCUUGCCCGAUCAACUGUUGUGACACUGCGAAGCAGAUGCAGUGGUUGCAGAGAGCUGUCACGGUGCAGCACGUGCUUCGGUCUGCCUUGCCUUCAGGGCUUGUGGGAACACUGUGUAAAGGCUCGACAAAGACCAUUAGUUGUAUGGGUGGGUGGAAGAGGUACUCACAUGGGCAUGAAGUGGGGCAAGGCGCCAGAAAGGGCCCUCAGAGACAGCAUGAUCUGGCUGGUCACCCACUAGCAGCCGCAGCUCUUGCAAUUGGGCGAGGCGCUGGCGGCUGCGCAGGGCCAACAACCGCUGCACGCCCACUCCUGUCUUCACAUCUUCAUC